rnacentral:rRNA from 1 species
AUGCGGGAAGCGGCUAGGAGGGAUGCGGAGAGGGCAUUUGGUGUGCUUCAACCUCGUUGGGGAAUUGUGCGGAGUGCUGCAAUGAUGUGGGAAUCAGGAACUUUGUGGCAGCUGACGAGAUGUUGUGUUAUUCUGCACAAUAUGAUUGUCGAGGAUGAGGGUGAUGGUGUAGCCCAAACGAGUGAUUUUGAAGCACCUAGAGAAGUAGUUGAAAUCCCAGAAGAUCAAGAUGCGGCUCAGCUUAUGAACUUUCUGCAAAUGCAUCAGAAUCUUCGAGAUCAUCAGCUGCAUACGCAGCUACUCAAUGAUCUUGUGGAGCACAUGUGGACCCAUAAUGAAUACCAAGGAGCUAAUGCUUGA